CCCAUCGCCGCCACACAGCUGUCCAGGGUGGCCGAAACAGAUCUGGUCACAGUCGGUGGCGGGGGCCAGGCGUCCCCGGGCCAGGUCGCUUUCAGAGCCACAGAAGCAGGCGUAACCGGCCUCCACGCCCGCCAGCUGGGAGCACAGACUGGGUGACCCCCGAGACAGGCGGGAGUCGUGGACGCUCAGUCCGGGACAGGCAGGGGCAGCUGGUGUCUGGGGAGAAAGGCAGCUGCGCCC
rnacentral:lncRNA from 1 species